rnacentral:rRNA from 1 species
ACUACGAGUAGGGUCUCAGGCCCGAUCUCCCACCCUUUGCUUAUUAUACCUUGUGUUGCUUCGGUAGGUCUGGCUCGUCCUACCGGAGGACCGUAAAACGUCCUCUGGAGAGUGCCUACCGAUAGCCCAAACCAAAAACUCUUGAACAAAACAUGUAUUGUCUGAGUAAACAAAAAAAUUAAAGCAAAACUUUCAACAACGGAUCUCUUGGUUCUGGCAUCGAUGAAGAACGCAGCGAAAUGCGAUAAGUAAUGCGAAUUGCAGAAUUCCAGUGAGUCAUCGAAUCUUUGAACGCACAUUGCGCCCUUUGGUAUUCCGAAGGGCAUGCCUGUUCGAGCGUCAUUUUCACCCCUCAAGCCCCCGGCUUGGUGUUGGACGGUUUGGUUUAGGUACCCCUAGACCCCUCCUAAAGACAAUGACGGCGGCUGUUGAACCCCCGGUACACUGAGCUUCUUAACUGAGCACGUAUCGGAUCUAGGGUUUGGCGGCACCCGGUCUAUACCUUUUUUGCUUACAAGGUUGACCUCGGAUCAGGUAGGAAUACCCGCUGAUCUUAAGCAUAUCUUUAAGCGGAGGACUCCCGCUUUUUAAUACAUCGGGUGGAUCCGAAACCAAGGAUCUCUGGGCAGGCGUUGGGAAGCCCCGGGAAAUGCCCCAUCAAAGCAAAAUCUGCAAAAAAUAUAUCGUGCUCUGCAUACAUAGGUAUUACAGUUUCAGCGAGCUUUGUGCUGGCCGCUAUCACACAGGAAAGCAACAAGAAUAGGUAUUCGACAAACCUGUAGCUCAAACUCUAAACCGUCUGCAUGUCCAUGCAGGGUCGGCGUUCAGGCGCUAUCUACGGUGCGAGCUUAUGAUCAUUCUAUCUCUAGCGAUUCAAACGUCACAGAGCUUACGUGCAUGCAGUGGAUGUGAGCCCACGUUGUAACUUACUAACGAGAUCAUA